AGAGUUUGAUCCUGGCUCAGGAUGAACGCUGGCGGUGUGCUUUAGGUAUGCAAGUCGAGCGAUCCCGCAUUUAUGCGGGAUAGCGGCAGACGGGUGAGUAAUGCGUAGGAAUCUGCCUCUUGGUGGAGGAUAGCUUGUCGAAAGAUGAGGUAAUCCUGCAUAAGUCCCACUUUUAGUGGGAGAAAGGAUGUAACUAUCCGCCGAGAGAGGAGCCUAUGUCCCAUCAGCUUGUUGGUAGGGUAAUGGCCUACCAAGGCUACAACGGGUAGGGGGCGUGAGAGCGUGGCCCCCCACAAGGUCACUGAGACACGGGGCCUACACCUACGGGUGGCAGCAACCGGGAAUAUUGCGCAAUGGGCGAAAGCCUGACGCAGCGACACCGCGUGUGGGAUGAAUGCCUUCGGGUUGUAAACCAUUUUUCUGAGGGAACACUUCCGAGGGUACCUCAGGAAUAAGCACUUGCUAACUACGUGCCAGCAGCCGCGGUAAAACGUAGAGUGCAAGCGUUAUCCGGAUUUAUUGGGCGUAAAGAGUAUCGUAGGCGGUUUAGUAAGUAUAUUGUUAAAGACUCCGACUUAAUCGGAGAAAAGCAAUGUAAACUGCUAGACUAGAGGGUUGUCGGGGGUAUUGGAAUUCCCGGUGGAGGGGUGAAAUCCGUGGAGAUCGGGAAGAACACCAAGGGCGAAGGCAGAUACCUAGACAAUUCCUGACGCUGAUGAACGAAAGCUAGGGUAGCAAAUCGGAUUAGAGACCCGAGUAGUCCUAGCCGUAAACGAUCCCUACUAGCUGCCCCGAUUUUUUCGGGGUGGCGUAAGCUAACGCGUUAAGUAGGGCGCCUGGGAAGUACGGCCGCAAGGCUAAAACUCAAAGGAAUUGGCGGGGGAGCGCACAACCAGUGGAGCAUGUGGUUUAAUUCGAUACAAAGCGUAGGACCUUACCUGGGUUUGACAUUCUACCGUAUGUAUCUGAUGAAAGUUAGAUUCCUUCAGGUAGAACAGCUGUUGCAUGGCUGUCGUCAGUUCGUGUCGUGAGAUGUUCCCAUAAGUGGGUUAACGAACGCAACCCCUAUUCUGUGUUACAUAUCACAGAAGACUGCUUCGAUUAAAUCGAGGAGGAAGGAGGGGACGACGUCAAGUCAGCAUGACGCUUACAUCCAGGGCAACACACAUCCUACAAUGGAUACUACAAUGGGUUUGCGAAAUCGUGAGAUUGAGCUAAUCCCUUAAAAGUAUCCUCAAUUCAGAUUGCAGGCUGAAACUCGCCUGCAUGAAGUUGGAAUUGGUAGUAAUCGCGGAUCAGCAGGCCGCGGUGAAUACGUUCUCGCUCCUUGCACACACUGCCCGUCAAGCGAGGAGAGCUGGGGGUGCCCGAAGUCUCCGAUUAGUCGGGGCCUAAGGCAAAUUCAGUAAUCAGCACUAAGUCCUAACAAGGUA
rnacentral:rRNA from 1 species